UACGGAGGAUGCAAGCGUUAUCCGGAAUGAUUGGGCGUAAAGCGUCCGCAGGUGGCUGUGUAAGUCUGCUGUUAAAGAGUCAUGCUCAACAUGAUAAGAGCAGUGGAAACUACACGGCUAGAGUGCGUUCGGGGCAGAGGGAAUUCCUGGUGUAGCGGUGAAAUGCGUAGAGAUCAGGAAGAACACCGGUGGCGAAAGCGUUCUGCUAGACCUGUACUGACACUGAGGGACGAAAGCUAGGGGAGCGAAUGGG
rnacentral:rRNA from 1 species